CCUCCACACACAACGUCGGCGACAUGAUACGUCAUCGUCUGCGGAGGAGAUGCUUCCCGGCCAAGGGACAGCAGGAGAGGAGGAAGUCGGGGGUGGAGAACAGCA